GGAACGUCUCGGCAAAAGACAUGUUAAAAUAAGCUGCUGUCAACAAGCCGCUUUCAUGUUUGAAAAGAGUCCGUGCAGGGGGCUGUCAUGAACCCACCUGAAGGGGCCCCGGCCUCAGCGUGAGGUAUUACGUAAGGCAGCUCUGCUUCUGUUUCCUGGUUUCCGAGCGCAUCCUUCAGAGGAGCCAAUGAGAGCGAGCUACAGCAGAUCACACACACCCACAGCGUGCUCGAGGACACACACACUGGACGCACGGAGUGAUCCGGAAAAACUGCUCAAGACACAAAAAGAAGAGGAAGGAAACAUCUUCACCCAGCGCUCUGCCGUGGUUUUGGUAAAGGAGUCUUUAACAGUAAGUGAACUCGGGAUGAACAGAUGUAGAGGGGAUCCACUUCAUUCUGACAGACGCCGCUAACAGGGAGGAACUUUGCCACUACAUGUCAACUAGCAGUCAUCAGAAUACGAGUAGGAUGUCUCGAAGAAAGGAGCCUCCUCGUGCCAGGAGAGGAGCAGGUUCUGUAGCUGUCCGUUCAGGUUAGGGCACAGAAAGGACGUCUUAGCAAGGGUUAAACUUGCUAUCUCAAGAUCUGGUUUUCUAACCAGGAAGCACCUCCUUAUGUGAUCCCCAACAGAGCUGUCUGCAGACCUCAAAUGGGAAUGUGGAAACUUUGAGAUUGACUCAUAAGGAACUUCUUUGGAAGCCUUUUAUGAAAUUCUGAAUAUAGAUUUAACUUUGCUUUCCCGAGCUUUCAUGUUUAUGUUUGACAGCAGGCUGUGUUGAGAUCUCUCGACUAUCAUAUGCUCAUCGGUGUUACAAGUAACGUGUUGAAGCGCCGCAGAUGUCCCCUCUGGAGCAGCGCGCACACCACGGCCUGACGCUCCUCAGCUGCUGCCUUCCUGCGACAUCAUCUCACAUCUCGCCGAGCGCUUCAGGAUCACUCGUUCAGGGAGAGGAUGAUGUCGUCUUCCAGGUCCGAGUUAUCAGAGCUGUCUGCUAGAGGAAGAACACGACAGCGUGUCACAGAAGGAAAAAAAAGAAAGCGGCAAAAAGAGCACGCGAGGAAUCAAACGUGAAGGGGGAGGACGUCAGAAACGGACGCGGCCGACAGCAAACAGCUGCUGAUGCUGUACAAACCGUCACCGUCGGAGACCGGGAUUAGAAUCGAUUUGAAUCCGUGUCUGUUAUCACCUGCUAGAGGCCAAGACUGAAGAAACGACGAACUGAAUCUCAACAGGAGCCAAAGAUACGGCAUAUUUGUUUCAGCCACAUUGUUUUAUAAAUGUACUCGCAGGAUGUUUUUAACCACCAGCAACGACGCUAGGUUUUUCUGUUUGGGUCACGUGUAGCUUUUUUUGUAUUUUGUACUUUGGUUAUUAAGGACUGCAAACGGCCAAAACCUGCAUUUUGUUCAUCUCAAUUUUUUUGCCAGCCACAAAUAUUUAAUCUCGGCAGUGAAACCCUAGACGUUCAGCUUUAAUUUGCUUCUAGGCAUCAAUCUCCCUUUCUCCCUCUCCAUUAGUUUACUGUAUUAAUCUGCCUUUACCAUUUUCAUUCGCAUUUUCAAUUUUUUUGCAGUUCUUUCUUUCGAUAGAUUGCACGUUCAGAUAUUCAUGAAAUCGAUCAAAAAUGGGGCAAGAGUUAUAAUGCUGGUAGACCGGAAACACUCAGUUGUGUCAUUUAAACAAACCUUUAAAUAAAAUUUAAAAAGACAUGCCUGAGAAAGCAA